GGCUUUUCUCCCUUCGGGGAGGCGCGAAUCCUCAGGGGCUCCUUGAGAGGGCGCCAGGGAGCAGCUGCGCGCGGAUGCCUUUCGGCCCUCUGCGGCCGCCGUAGCUCCCCGUCAGAAACCCGGAAGUGGAACUCUCAGCCAUUCAGCGUUUGGGUGAAGACGGAGGCGGGUUCUAGAGAGACGUAGGCUGUCAGGGAGUGUUUAUUUCGCGUCCGCUUCUGUUUCUCCGCGCCCCUGUGCUGCCCCGACUCACAUACUCGUCCAGAGCCGGCCUCAGCCUCUCCGCGCAGAAGUCUCCCGGAGCCAUGGCCGAGUACUCCUAUGUGAAGUCUACCAAGCUCGUGCUCAAGGGAACCAAGACGAAGAGUAAGAAGAAAAAGAGCAAAGAUAAGAAAAGAAAAAGAGAAGAAGAUGAAGAAACCCAGCUUGAUAUUGUUGGAAUCUGGUGGACAGUAACAAACUUUGGUGAAAUUUCAGGAACCAUAGCCAUUGAAAUGGAUAAGGGAACCUAUAUACAUGCACUCGACAAUGGUCUUUUUACCCUGGGAGCUCCACACAAAGAAGUUGAUGAGGGCCCUAGUCCUCCAGAGCAGUUUACGGCUGUCAAAUUAUCUGAUUCCAGAAUCGCCCUGAAGUCUGGCUACGGAAAAUAUCUUGGUAUAAAUUCAGAUGGACUUGUUGUUGGGCGUUCAGAUGCAAUUGGACCAAGAGAACAAUGGGAACCAGUCUUUCAAAAUGGGAAAAUGGCUUUGUUGGCCUCAAAUAGCUGCUUUAUUAGAUGCAAUGAAGCAGGGGACAUAGAAGCAAAAAGUAAAACAGCAGGAGAAGAAGAAAUGAUCAAGAUUAGAUCCUGUGCUGAAAGAGAAACCAAGAAAAAAGAUGACAUUCCAGAAGAAGACAAAGGAAAUGUAAAACAAUGUGAAAUCAAUUAUGUGUAUGUAUUCUUUUCCUUUUAGACCUACAGAUUUGACAGUGAAGUGCUUCUCAAAGUGCUUUCAAAAUAAAUUACCUACUUAGCUGGGCAUGGUGGUACAUGCCUAUAGGCCCAGCUACUCGGGAGGCUGAGACAGGAGGAUUGUUUGAGCCCAGGAGUUCAAGGCUGCAGUGAGCUCUGAUCACCACUGCCUUCCAGCCUGGGUGGCAGAGCAAGACCGUGUCUGAAAAAAUGAAACUGAUGGACAAGAAGAGACGACACAAUGUAGCCUCUAGGACAGAGCACUGAGCUAAAUGCUUUUCUUUUCUUGAGGCUUCAGUUUUCCUAAUCAUCCUACCACCUCCCAAAGCUAGUCACUCAGAAAGAAAUUUCAGAGCUUCCAAGACCACAAACUUAAAAUAAGUAAAGAAGACAGUAAAAUUCUUAAAAAGGCUCGGAAAGAUGGAUUUUUGCAUGAGACGCUUCUGGACAGGAGAGCCAAAUUGAAAGCCGACAGAUACUGCAAGUGACUGGGAUUUUUGUUUCUGCCUUAUCUUUCUGUGUUUUUUUCUGAAUAAAAUAUUCAGAGGAAAUGCUUUUA